CUUGUGUUAAAGAUUAAGCCAUGCGUGCCAGAGUAUAGGUGGACAAAGAACCGAGACUGCGGAUGGCUCAUUAAAUCAGUCAGAAUUAGUUUGGUGAAGCGUGGAAUGAGAAGGAUAACCCUGUUAAUUGUAGAGCUAAUACAAGAAAAGGAUAUUGGAUGGUGUGGUGUUUAUUGCACCGGUCCAAUAGCAUUUAUCAGCUCGGUUUUCGUUGUUGUGUGUGAUUUCAGUCAUGGGGUGACCUGUGGUUGACAGCAGCGAGAAUGGGAGAUGACAAGGGAGAGUGUGUCUGAGGGAGCAAGGCCCAAGAGUCCAGGAAGCAAAAGGAAAAGCAAGUUGUGACAGUGUUGUGUGUGUGCAAUGCAUGUGUGUGAUGCUGGGAGCUUGAAGGCGACGGGGACAGAUGGGUGGCACUUAGGCAUGAGGACGACUUGUGAUCUCACAGCAAGACAUCCGUGAGAGCAAUGAAGAAGGAUAAAUAGGGGAAAGCAGUGUUUCUUUUUGUAGGGGCAACUCGAUGAGAAGGGAUGCUGUGGAAGCCAGACAGCGAGUCGUGAGAACUUGAAUGGCGACAUUUGAGGACGAUGGACCAAAGAAAAGACUGACCUAUCAAGUUGAUGGUAGGAUAGGGGCCUACCAAGCUAAUAACGGGUGACGGGGAAUUAGGGUUUGAUUCCGGAGAGGGAGCCUGAGAAAUGGCUACCACUUCCAAGGAAGGCAGCAGGCGCGUAAAUUACUCAGUGCCACCAGGGCGAGGUAGUGACGACAAAUACUGAUGUUUUCUUGGCGUUUAGCUGAGGGAGCAAUUGGAAUGAAAGCAAGACAAAGAUAUGGGACGAGUAGCAAUUGGAGGGCAAGUCUGGUGCCAGCAGCCGCGGUAAUUCCAGCUCCAAGAGUGUAUAUUAAAGCUGUUGCGAUUAAAACGCUCGUAGUUUAUGUGAUGGUUUUGUUUGUAGUGUUGUGUGUAAGACCAUGUUUUUUAGGCAUGGUUUCGCAGACAGGAUGACAAGACAGGACAGGUGGUGCAGUUUGGAGAUUGUGCUUGGAUGGACGAUAAGGAAGAACUGGAUGGAAUACUUUGAACAAAAUAGGACGAUAGAGGUAGAUAGAAGAGUAUGAUGGAUAUAUUAGCAUAGGAUAAUAGAGGUGUUUGAUGGCGUGUCAGAAUGGAGCACAUGGCAAGGGACAAGAAAUCUGUGGUGGCUGUGUUUGUGGAAAUGGUUUUGAUGGUGUGUAAAAUGGUGGCAGAUGGAACACGUGUUGCUUUUGCCAGAAUGGACACUGUUGGAAAGAGUGAGUGGUGACACACGCGGACAGACAAAGACAGCGAGGACAGAGAAAUAGACCUGUUGGGUGACUGAUGGGACGACCUUGGGAUGUGUGAGGAAGACGGAGAGACGUUGAGCCAUGGGACAGACAAAGAAUAGGAACAAAUGGGGUGGUGGAUAUUUUCCUGAGAGAGGUGAAAUUCAAUGACCAGGAAAAGAUGGACGAGAGCGAAAGCAUUCCACAAAGAUGUUUUCAUAGAUCAAGAACGAAAGUUGGGGGAUCGAGGACGAUCAGAUACCGUCGUAGUCUCAACCAUAAACGAUGCCGAUUUGGGAUUGGAUGCAGAAUCCCAUUUUCUGUUUCUUUGCUUUUUCAGAAGGCAAAGGACAUGGAAUGGAAAUCGAAAAGAAGCACAUGUGUGUUGUGGGAACACAAUGGAUGUGUGUGGACAGAAUAGACUCUUCCAGGACUUUUGAGAGAAAUCGAGAAGUUGAUGGGCUUCGGGGGGAGUAUGGUCGCAAGGCAGAAACUUAAAGGAAUUGACGGGAGGGCACACCAGGAGUGGAGCGUGCGGCUUAAUUUGACUCAACACGGGGAAACUUACCAGGGCCAGAUAGCAUGGGGAUUGACAGAUUGAGAGCUCUUUCAUGAUAUGGUAGGUGGUGGUGCAUAGUCGUUCUUAGUUGGUGGUGUGAAUUGUCUGGUUAAUUCCGAUAACGAACGAGACCUUGGCUUGCUAUGUAGAUUUGUGUGAUGGCAGCUUUGUUUUUUCUUUUUCUGGUAUUUCUUUGUGGUUGUUUUCGGACAGACACAGAGGACAGAAAAGGGGGCAAGGCAGGGUGACAUGGGAUUUCGUAGAAGGACAUUUGAUAGUAAAGGAAUUGAAGGAAGGGAGAGGCAAUAACAGGUCUGUGAUGCCCUUGGAUGCUCUGGGCCGCACGCGCGCUACAAUGCUAUAUUCAGAGUGUGAGUGGUUUCGUUGUUUGUGACUGAUGUGUGUAAAAAGCAAGUUGGUUGUGAAUGACAAAGCAAGGGACCGACAUUGAGAAAUGGAGGGAAGCAAAGGAAAGGAUAGCAAGGUGGGGAUAGAUGAUUGGAAUUGUUUGUCUUGAACAAGGAAUUCCUAGUAAGCGCAAGUGAGUAGCUUGUGCUGAUUACGUCCCUGCCCUUUGUGCACACCGCCCGUCGCUCCUACCGAUUGGGUAAUGCGGUGAAAAUACUGGAUGUUUUGUUGUCUCUUUUGGGGGGCAGGAGAAUAGAAAGUAAUUGAACCUUAAUAUCUAGAGGAAGGAGAAGUCGUAACAAGGUAUCCG
rnacentral:rRNA from 1 species